rnacentral:lncRNA from 1 species
AUGUUUUUAACAGAUACUGAAGCCUAUUUUCUAUUAUUUUUGCAGGAGGAUGUACUUCUGUUCCACAGCCCAUCCUUUAGUAGAAGGACUGCAAGCCUACUGGUGCUGACAGCAGAUGGCUCAGAAUAUUCUCACAGGAAAGUGUGAAGUAACUGGAGAGAUGGGAUAAUUGCAUUUGUGCUGUUGGCCCUGAAGUCCAGAGCUGUUACAGGCUGUGAAGGAGCACAAAGAGAAGAGUUGACCACGAUGGAUGUGCAGCAGUAACAAGGUGAAAUUGCAUUGCCCUUUCCACAGAACUGAUAGCCUGUUAAAUAUUCCACUGUAAACAGGAGUAAAUGAACAGGCAGAGGUUCCUCAGAUGUCUGGCAAAAAUGUUCUUAAUUCAGUUGUAUAGCCAGGGUUGAACAAGUGGUGCAAAGCUGAGAACUGUCUUGCACUCCAUUUGUUUAUUUUUAAAAGUUUGUGCUUCCUCCCAUUUUUCUUGGCCAUUCUGUUGAAUAUAUUCAACAAGGAAAUAGGAACUGUGUAUAACUGGAAGCAUUUCCAGAUGGGUUCUGUGCUACAACAGGGAAUACAAUCUGUGCGACAUACAUAAUAUAUGGAAACAAAGGCUACACACCUAAGGCUUGAAAGUACAUUGAGCAUAGUAAAUCUGAAAUGAAUCCACACCUGAAGGAGUAGAAUGCACUCAUCAGCAGCACAUAUGGCUGCUAGUGCCUUCCUCAAAUAAAAUUUUCAAGGAGG